rnacentral:tRNA from 1 species
GCAGUGGUGGUUCAGGGGUAGAAUUCUCGCUUUGCAUGUGGGAGACUCAGGUUCGAUUCCCGGCAGAUACA